rnacentral:rRNA from 1 species
GACGAACGCUGGCGGCGUGCUUAACACAUGCAAGUCGAACGAAGUGGCGAACGGGUGAGUAACGCGUAAUCAACCUGCCCUUCAGAGGGGGACAACAGUUGGAAACGACUGCUAAUACCGCAUACUGAAGGGGGGGCUUGCGUUGGAUUAGCUAGUUGGAGGGGUAACGGCCCACCACGGCGAUGAGCAGUAGGCGGUCUGGGUGGAUGAACGGCCGACUUGGGAAUGAGGAACGGCCCAGACUUCUACGGGAGGCGGCAGUGGGGAAUUUUCCUGAAUGGACGAAAGUCUGACGGAGCAACGCCGCGUGAGUGAUGACGGCCUUUGGGGUGUAAAGCUCUGUUAAUCGGGACGCGGUACCGGAAUAGAAAGCCACGGCUAACUACGUGCCAGCAGCCGCGGUAAUAC